rnacentral:rRNA from 1 species
ACGAACCGUCCAAACGUUAUUCGGAAUUACUGGGCUUAAAGGGUGCGUAGGCGGCGCGGAAAGUUGGGUGUGAAAUCCCUCGGCUCAACCGAGGAACUGCGCCCAAUACUACCGUGCUUGAGGGAGAUAGAGGUGAGCGGAACUUAGGGUGGAGCGGUGAAAUGCGUUGAUAUCCUAAGGAACACCGGUGGCGAAAGCGGCUCACUGGAUCUCUUCUGACGCUGAGGCACGAAAGCUAGGGUAGCGAACGGGAUUAGAUACCCCGGUAGUCCUAGCCGUAAACGAUGAGCACUGGAUUGGAGGGUCCUCCAUAGCCUUCCAGUCGCAACGAAAGCGUUAAGUGCUCCGCCUGGGGAGUAUGGUCGCAAGGCUG